CCUACGUGCGGCAGCAGUGAGGAAUAUUGGUCAAUGGGCGCGAGCCUGAACCAGCCAAGUAGCGUGAAGGAUGACUGCCCUAUGGGUUGUAAACUUCUUUUAUAAAGGAAUAAAAUGAGGCACGUGUGCCUUUUUGUAUGUACUUUAUGAAUAAGGAUCGGCUAACUCCGUGCCAGCAGCCGCGGUAAUACGGAGGAUCCGAGCGUUAUCCGGAUUUAUUGGGUUUAAAGGGAGCGUAGAUGGGUUGUUAAGUCAGUUGUGAAAGUUUGCGGCUCAACCGUAAAAUUGCAAUUGAUACUGGCAGUCUUGAGUACAGUUGAGGUAGGCGGAAUUCGUGGUGUAGCGGUGAAAUGCUUAGAUAUCACGAAGAACCCCGAUUGCGAAGGCAGCUUACUAAACUGUAACUGACAUUGAUGCUCGAAAGUGUGGGUAUCAAACAGGAUUAGAUACCCGGGUAGUC
rnacentral:rRNA from 1 species